ACGAACCUUCGGGUUAGUGGCGGACGGGUGAGUAACGCGUGAGAAUCUGCCCUCAGGAGGGGGAUAACGGUUGGAAACGACCGCUAAUACCCCAUAUGCCGAGAGGUGAAAUGAAUUUCGCCUGAGGAUGAGCUCGCGUCUGAUUAGUUAGUUGGUGGGGUAAUGGCCUACCAAGACAUCGAUCAGUAGCUGGUCUGAGAGGAUGAUCAGCCACACUGGGACUGAGACACGGCCCAGACUCCUACGGGAGGCAGCAGUGGGGAAUUUUCCGCAAUGGGCGAAAGCCUGACGGAGCAACGCCGCGUGAGGGAUGAAGGCCUCUGGGCUGUAAACCUCUUUUAUCAAGGAAGAAGAUCUGACGGUACUUGAUGAAUAAGCCACGGCUAAUUCCGUGCCAGCAGCCGCGGUAAUACACUCCUACGGGAGGCAGCAG
rnacentral:rRNA from 1 species